UGGGGAAUAUUGGACAAUGGGCGAAAGCCUGAUCCAGCCAUGCCGCGUGUGUGAAGAAGGUCUUCGGAUUGUAAAGCACUUUAAGUUGGGAGGAAGGGCAGUAAGCGAAUACCUUGCUGUUUUGACGUUACCGACAGAAUAAGCACCGGCUAACUCUGUGCCAGCAGCCGCGGUAAUACAGAGGGUGCAAGCGUUAAUCGGAAUUACUGGGCGUAAAGCGCGCGUAGGUGGUUCGUUAAGUUGAAUGUGAAAGCCCCGGGCUCAACCUGGGAACUGCAUCCAAAACUGGCGAGCUAGAGUAGGGCAGAGGGUGGUGGAAUUUCCUGUGUAGCGGAGAAAUGCGUAGAUAUAGGAAGGAACACCAGUGGCGAAGGCGACCACCUGGGCUCAUACUGACACUGAGGUGCGAAAGCGUGGGGAGCAAACAGG
rnacentral:rRNA from 1 species